GGCUUCGUGGUCGAAUGGUAAAGACACUUACCUCACACUCUGGAGUUCCGGGUUCGAUCCCCGGUAGAGAAGCUA
rnacentral:tRNA from 1 species